rnacentral:rRNA from 1 species
GUCUAUGACCAUACCACCCUGAACGCACCCAAUCUCAUCUGAUCUCGAAAGUUAAGCAGGGUUGGGCCUGGUUAGUACUUGGAUGGGAGAAACAGGGUCUCCCUAUGUU